rnacentral:misc_RNA from 1 species
UGAGUAGUUUUGGACCCGUGUCUGCCGGUAGAUCCCCCGACUCUUUGUGCGGCCGACUACCGGCGCCGUGUCCCGUCAUUCGUGUGGCUUAUGCUGCUGUUGCCUUUCAAGUGCUUGCGUGCUGGUACCCGACCUACGGGAAGUGGUGCUUCGUACACGGUUACCUCGUGGUGGACACCUUCGGGUGUGCCGCUGCGGCCUAAUGGCGCUUGCGGCGUUUCCUCGUGGUUCCGGCACGCUAACGUGCCAGGUGCUACCAAGGCAGCCUCGCUCCCGCUGUUGGUCUCGGAUGUUGCUCACGAUAAAGGCUCAUGGCCCUUUUGGUUGCCUUGACCCGACCCUUAAGCUGCUCUCCGAAUUUGAGAACAACCGUGAACAGGUGUUGCCUCUACCUCUCCACAGUUAGUGGUAGGAUACGCAACAUUCUGCGCCGAUCCUCAAUCAAGUAGGAUGAGCUUGGCCCGCUCAAUCGCGACAACCGGCUCGGCCGUUGCCUCAGCCUUGACACGCAAGUGGACGGGCGGACAAAGACCGACGCUGGACGUCAACGAGGACGUGCU